GGAUGAAGAUGGAAGACUCGGUCCAAGCCAUGCAGCAUGACUAUAUGUGGGGUUAGAACACAGGAAUUCCUGACUCCCAGCCCUGUGGUUAUGGCACUGAAAAUCACCCUUCCCCAUACAUAAAGAUCCACUUUUGGACAGGAAUUGGAGAAGACUAUGGUUAUUUCUGUAUUGGGAGGACCUAAAGAAUUUCACCAGAUGAAAGGAAGACCAAAAGCUAGUAAAACAAAGAGCGGCCAUAUGACACAAAUCAGCAACCCAAGACUGAGACAACAAAGGAUGGCAAGGCCUUUCCAUUUCAAAGGUGGCUGAGCCAGUCAAAAGCAAUAACCCUGUGUCUUAAG